CACACCUCUGUAUAUUUUGUAUAAAAUAUUAAAAUUUAAAAUGAAACCACUUUAUUUUAUUGGUUUAAUGCUUUGACUGCCUGAGAUAUGGCCAGCACAUUGUAAAGAAAUGUGAGUAGCACACCAUGGCACUGAGGGGAUUAAACAUAUUGCGUAUUACUUAGCAUGCAGGAAAUUGCUUGUGCUUGUUACUUAGAAUGAAGGAAAUUACUUAGGUUAAUGAGUUGUUCCUGCUCUGACAUAUGAUGCUAAAAUAUAAAAUUGAGUCAGCACAGAAAAAGUCCACUUUGACUUAAGGAUACAGGACAAUACAUUAAUGGAGCUGUGCCUGAAAACCUGGGAGUGUCUGGCAGCAUGCUUCAACAUACAUGUCAGUGUGGUUGGCAAGGGGGGGGGGGGAGAAACCUUUUUGAACAGACAUGACACUUUAACAGCAGAUAUGCGAAGUGCUAGUAUUGAAACUAGACUCCACUAGUUGUGUGUUACCCUCUGGCUUAGUGGUUACAUUUGUGGAUACCUCAUGAGCAGGAAAAAAAGAAUGACAAUUCAGGAGUUGUAAAUCAUCACAACUCCUGACUCUCAUGUUCACAGAAUAAGCAUAAAAAAGGCCAGAAUUUUACUUGCAAGCUUUUUAUUUAAUUUCAAGCUUUGUGCACUAUCUCCAGGCUACACUGCAAAUAAUCUAUUUCUGUGAGAUUUUAAAACUUUUAAAUUAUCACACAUUGGGCAUCCAAUUGAGAUGCCCUGUUGGAGAUUAAAAGUGGCACUUCAAAUAUCACCUCAAGGAGCAUACUGAGCAUGUUUUAGGUGCCGUUUGAAUGGACAGAUUUUAAAAAGCAACCUAAAUUCUACACAUGACUAGUUUCAUGUAACAUCCAUCUUCAGAUCAAGCUCAUGCUGAAAGUGAAUUGAAGGACUCAAAAUCCAAAUUUUGUCAGAGUGCCACAAUAGUUCUCUCCUUCCAACAAAUCCCAACAAUGGCCAUUUCCUCCAAAAAUUAAGAAUCAUAAUGUACAAACUUUUCACCUCUAUUGUGGCUAACCGGAUCUGAGAGUUACUGUAAGAAAUGUCUUUAAUUCUAACCAUAACCUCUGCUGUAUCAUGGACACAUGUGAAUAGUGAAAGCACAGGCGAGCCACUUACCUAUAUAAUCUAAUAAGCCACGCACACACUAUCAAGGGAAUAAUGAAAUUCGAAGCACCCUUCUAAAUUCUAAGCAAGGUAUACAGUAUUGUAAAUUUGGGAUAAUCCUCAAGGAGUCUUUCAAAAUAAAAUUAGCAUGUACCCCUCUUAACAGUA